CGGCAUAACCGGAGCCAUCGAAGAAGUAACUGGCAGCCCGACUCUGAGUGAAGGCCAGCUUAUCUCUGAAAUGGAAACACAACGGUCAUUUGAACACUACAGUUUCUGUUAUGCUUUUCAAGUGAAGCCCUUUUAACCCAUUCUUCUAACAUCUUCUGUGGACCUUACAACAUUUAAAUGAAGUCCUGUUGUCUGCAAGGAAGAGAUAAAGAGGUAUUUGUAGGGACUUUGGCUAAAAAAAUAAACUGUCAAAGGAACUGGCAUUUGCUGACUGGACUACAGCACAUCUCGAAGAAUCUGCAGACUGAAACCUUCAAGGCAUUCAUGAAAUGGUCUUCCCUUAGUUCCCCUGCCUUUUCCACUCUUUCUGCCAUUUGGAUUUCACACUGGAAGUUCAAGAGAUGACAUCAGAAAACAGAAAAGCCAGUGGGAAAGGCAAGGUAUAAAGAACUUUCAGGGAAUACUCACAUCAUAAAUUCGGUCAGUGGUGUUCAAAGCAAAUUCUGCUGUUUCAUUGGCUUCACUAACAUAAUUAACAAUAUUUUCAUAGACAUUUGAUGCAUCCAAAGCCUUCUGUACCAGCCCGUUCAUAUCUGAACUGUGCAACUUCCUGUUAAUAAACAAACAUUGUUAUUU
rnacentral:lncRNA from 1 species